UUGUGGGUGAGGGAGGGCAGAAAGGGAGAGUGCUGGGCGGGCUUAGUCGGAGAUUGAGGACUGGGAAUCCGCUUCCGGGAGGGCACUGUCUAGUGCACAGGCAACCUGGCCUUGGCCUCCUAGCCCGAGAAGCCGAAUCUCCCUAAUCCCUGUGACCUGUGUCACCUCUGCAUCGCGAGGAGGGGGAUAAGUGGGGAGAAGCCUGGUGUCAGAUGGGAUGGCGCCGGAAGAGGGUGCCACAGCGGGGACGGAAGGCGCCCCCACCCCAACUCCACGGGAAUAUAAACAAUUUGUAUUUUCCGAUCAGGUGGCGGGACAGGCUUCAUUGGGACAGCCCUAACCCAGCUGCUGAAUGCCAGAGGCCACGAAGUGACGUUGGUCUCCCGAAAGCCCGGGCCCGGCCGGAUCACGUGGGUAAGUCCAUCCUCUGGAAGCGGGUGGGAGGGCAGAGUUGGGCGGCGCAGGGCGGGGCAGGGGCACUGUGUGCUUUCUCCGACAGGAUGAGCUCGCUGCAUCGGGGCUGCCGAGCUGCGAUGCCGCCGUCAACCUGGCCGGAGAGAACAUCCUCAACCCUCUCCGAAGAUGGAAUGAAACCUUCCAAAAAGAGGUAAUCGGCAGCCGCCUAGAGACCACCCAAUUGCUGGCUAAAGCCAUCACCAAAGCCCCACAACCCCCCAAGGCCUGGGUCUUAGUCACAGGUGUAGCUUACUACCAGCCCAGUCUGACUGCGGAGUAUGAUGAAGACAGCCCAGGAGGGGACUUUGACUUUUUCUCCAACCUCGUAACCAAAUGGGAAGCUGCAGCCAGGCUUCCUGGAGAUUCUACACGCCAGGUGGUGGUGCGCUCAGGGGUUGUGCUGGGCCGUGGGGGUGGUGCCAUGGGCCACAUGCUGCUGCCCUUUCGCCUGGGCCUGGGGGGCCCCAUCGGCUCAGGCCACCAAUUCUUCCCCUGGAUACACAUCGGGGACCUGGCAGGAAUCCUGACCCAUGCCCUUGAAGCAAACCACGUGCACGGGGUCCUGAAUGGAGUGGCUCCAUCCUCCGCCACUAAUGCUGAGUUUGCCCAGACCUUGGGUGCUGCCCUGGGCCGCCGAGCCUUCAUCCCUCUCCCCAGCGCUGUGGUGCAAGCUGUCUUUGGGCGACAGCGUGCCAUCAUGCUGCUGGAGGGCCAGAAGGUGAUCCCACAGCGAACACUGGCCACUGG
rnacentral:lncRNA from 1 species